rnacentral:rRNA from 1 species
UACGUAGGGGGCUAGCGUUGUCCGGAAUCAUUGGGCGUAAAGAGCGUGUAGGCGGUCCGGUAAGUCCGUUGUGAAAGUCAGGGGCUCAACCCUUGAAUGCCGGCGGAAACUGUCUGGCUAGAGUCCGGGAGGGGCGAGUGGAAUUCCUGGUGUAGCGGUGAAAUGCGCAGAUAUCAGGAGGAACACCAAUGGCGAAGGCAGCUCGCUGGAACGGAACUGACGCUGAGGCGCGAAAGCGUGGGGAGCGAACAGG